GACGAACGCUGGCGGCGUGCUUAACACAUGCAAGUCGAACGAAGAGCGAUGGAAGCUUGCUUCUAUCAAUCUUAGUGGCGAACGGGUGAGUAACGCGUAAUCAACCUGCCCUUCAGAGGGGGACAACGGUUGGAAACGACUGCUAAUACCGCAUACGAUCUAAUCUCGGCAUCGAGGAAAGAUGAAAGGUGGCCUCUAUUUAUAAGCUAUCACUGAAGGAGGGGAUUGCGUCUGAUUAGCUAGUUGGAGGGGUAACGGCCCACCAAGGCGAUGAUCAGUAGCCGGUCUGAGAGGAUGAACGGCCACAUUGGGACUGAGACACGGCCCAGACUCCUACGGGAGGCUGCAGUGGGGAAUCUUCCGCAAUGGACGAAAGUCUGACGGAGCAACGCCGCGUGAGUGAUGACGGCCUUCGGGUUGUAAAGCUCUGUUAAUCGGGACGAAAGGCCUUCUUGCGAACAGUUAGAAGGAUUGACGGUACCGGAAUAGAAAGCCACGGCUAACUACGUG
rnacentral:rRNA from 1 species